CACGUAGGGGGCAAGCGUUGUCCGGAUUUAUUGGGCGUAAAGAGCUCGUAGGCGGCUCAGUAAGUCGGGUGUGAAACCUCCAGGCUCAACCUGGAGACGCCACCUGAUACUGCUGUGGCUAGAGUCCGGUAGGGGAGCGUGGAAUUCCUGGUGUAGCGGUGAAAUGCGCAGAUAUCAGGAGGAACACCAGCGGCGAAGGCGGCGCUCUGGGCCGGAACUGACGCUGAGGAGCGAAGGCCAGGGGAGCAAACGGG
rnacentral:rRNA from 1 species